rnacentral:rRNA from 1 species
GAUGAACGCUGGCGGCGUGCCUAAUACAUGCAAGUCGAGCGAACAGACGAGGAGCUUGCUCCUCUGACGUUAGCGGCGGACGGGUGAGUAACACGUGGAUAACCUACCUAUAAGACUGGGAUAACUUCGGGAAACCGGAGCUAAUACCGGAUAAUAUAUUGAACCGCAUGGUUCAAUAGUGAAAGAUGGUUUUGCUGUCACUUAUAGAUGGAUCCGCGCCGCAUUAGCUAGUUGGUAAGGUAACGGCUUACCAAGGCGACGAUGCGAAGCCGACCUGAGCGGAUGAGCGGCCACACUGGAACUGAAACACGGUCCAGACUCCGACGGGAGGCAGCAGUAGGGAAUCUUCCGCAAUGGGCGAAAGCCUGACGGAGCAACGCCGCGUGAGUGAUGAAGGUCUUCGGAUCGUAAAACUCUGUUAUUAGGGAAGAACAAAUGUGUAAGUAACUAUGCACGUCUUGACGGUACCUAAUCAGAAAGCCACGGCUAACUACGUG